GCUAAUAUUUUAGCUAAAUAUUUAAUGAAUUGACCAAUUUUUGUAAUAAGCUACUUAUAAAUGGAAAGAACUGGUAUUUUCCCUAUAAUCUUUUCUGAGAAAAAGAAAUUUUGGAGAAGUGCACAAAUAGCCGUUUUUUGGACACCAAUUUAAAAAAUAGUCAAAUUUGUAAAAAUUUUAAAGUUUAGUCGCCUUAAUAUCAACUUCAUACUCGACGGUUAAAGUUGAAAUCGCAAACCGAAAGUUACGAAGUUCAGAACUUCGGGUCUAAGCCUAAAAUCAAACUCGACGGUCUGAAGCUGACUCGAAGGCUUGAAGAAAAAGAAAAAGAAAAAGAAGAGGAAGAAGCCAAAUCUGGAAACAAGCUAAACUUCAAAAUAAUCGAAAAAGGGAAUUGUUACCGUGGUGAUGUUCCUAGACAUUUGAUGGCUUAAACUCCCUUCAGUGCUGGGAGAUGAUUCUCCAAGUAUUUGAAAUAAGAUAGAGAAAAAUAUGCUUAUAGGGAAUGAGAGGAUAACGAGCUUCCUCCUAGAGUUACAUAACUUAUAUACACUUUAAAGAAGGAAAAAGAUUGGCUUAAACGUGAAAGAAAUAUUUUGCAUCGGAAAAAUAAGUGGUAGUUGGAGGGACCGAAGUAUUAAAGAAAAAUAAUGUUUUGAAGAAGAAGGUGGAGAAUCUUGAGAAUUUUCUGGUACAUAAUGCUAGAGUGAUCAAAAAGUUGAAGAAUAUUGUGGCUUGUUAUUUGUAUCUUGUGUUGUUUUGUUGGAUUAAUCGCGACUUAGAAGAUGGAAUGACAAUUGAGAUGUUCGAUUAAUCGUAGUAGAUAAAUCUUUGAACUAAUGUCGGAUCUUAUAGCUAAUUAACAUAUUUAUUUUGUUUUGUGUU